rnacentral:rRNA from 1 species
CCUACGGGAGGCAGCAGUGGGGAAUAUUGGACAAUGGGCGAAAGCCUGAUCCAGCAAUUCCGCGUGUGUGAAGAAGGCCUUCGGGUUGUAAAGCACUUUAGUGGGGGAAGAAACAGCUUGGCCACACCAAGCCUUGACGGUACCCCAAGAAUAGGCACCGGCUAACUCUGUGCCAGCAGCCGCGGUAAUACAGAGGGUGCAAGCGUUAAUCGGAUUUACUGGGCGUAAAGGGUGCGUAGGUGGCUAUUUAAGUCGGAUGUGAAAGCCCGGGGCUCAACCUCGGAAUUGCAUUCGAUACUGAGUGGCUAGAGUUCGGUAGAGGGCGGCGGAAUUUCCGGUGUAGCGGUGAAAUGCGUAGAUAUCGGAAGGAACAUCAAUGGCGAAGGCAGCCGCCUGGGCCUGGACUGACACUGAGGCACGAAAGCGUGGGUAGCAAACAGGAUUAGAUACCCUGGUAGUCCACGCCGUAAACGAUGAGAACUUGACGUUGGUUCGUUUUACGAAUCGGUGUCGCNGCUACGACGAUAGUUACGUCCGUCCGUCGGGUAGGUACGGCCGGCCGAACGGUUAGGUAAACGUUAAACGUUAAGUAAGUUAGUACGGCGUGAGACGUACGCCGAACGGACGACCGACGAGGGAGGUAGG